rnacentral:rRNA from 1 species
UACGUAGGGUGCAAGCGUUGUCCGGAAUUAUUGGGCGUAAAGAGCUCGUAGGCGGUCUGUCGCGUCUGCUGUGAAAACUCAGGGCUUAACCCUGAGCUUGCAGUGGGUACGGGCAGGCUAGAGUUCGGUAGGGGAGACUGGAAUUCCUGGUGUAGCGGUGAAAUGCGCAGAUAUCAGGAGGAACACCGGUGGCGAAGGCGGGUCUCUGGGCCGAUACUGACGCUGAGGAGCGAAAGCGUGGGGAGCGAACAGG